CGGGGCGUGGCGCAGCUCGGUAGCGCGCCUGCUUUGGGAGCAGGAGGUCCCGGGUUCAAAUCCCGGCGCCCCGA
rnacentral:tRNA from 1 species